GGUUGAAGCCCUUCAAGAAACAGAAUCUAAGCCAUCAGCUCGGAUUGUUGACGAAUCUUCAUUUCACCUUACACGGAACGAAGACUAUGCUAACAUGCCAUCAGAAAAGAAUUUAAGGGGAGUAUUGAGAUCCGAAGUUGAUAGGUCGUUGUCUAGAGACAAUAUUAUUAUAGUGGAUUCUUUGAACAACAUAAAGGGGUACAAAUACGAGCUAUGGUGUCUGGCUCGGGCAGCUGGUACAAGAUAUUGUGUCGUGCAUUGUGAUAUUGAAGAGACAUACUAUCGGAAAUGGAAUGAAGAACGGAGGGAGAAAUCAGAGGCGAAUUAUGAUGAUAAAAUAUUUGAAGAUCUGGUUAGAAGGUUUGAGAGGCCGGACAACAGAAACCGUUGGGAUUCACCGUUGUUUGAGCUACGGCCCUCCCGAGAUGGGAUUGAAAUAUCGUAUGCUGCCAUAGUGGAUGCUGUGACAUACCUGACAAAAAGAGUAGACUCGAAAACCAAGGAUGUUAAAGUGUUGCAGCCCACUAUGGCAACACAGGGCGCACGGCUAACAUAGGCGAAUUCUCUCUACGAGUUAGAUAGAGCAACACUGUCACACCCCAAUUCUUGAAUGAAUAAAUACAAUCGAGGAGAAACUAAAUCAUGAAAUAACACAAGGAAAAAUCCUUGUUGAAACCGAAUAGAAGGUAACAAGUCGGGCUAGGCCCAUUUGGAUCACAAGUUUUGUUUCAUACUUCUGAUAACCAGUAUUCAUUAGCAUAAAACUAAGAGUUAAGUGUUUAGGCUCAAUCAGAGAAAUCAUUCUAAAUCUGAUAUGAAAGUCUUAAGUUGAGAAACCAAAAGACAAGAUAUUAUUUACUGCUACAGCGGAAGUCUUAAAAGGAAGUUGAACCCUAGCCUCAACUUAGUCCCGUCAGCACCGGCCAGCCAACCUGAAAACAUUUAAAGUAUUUGGCUAAGUACUAAUGUACUUAGUGGGCAUUAUUUUAUAAACAUAUAUUUGUAAGAAUUAUUUUAUCAUAUUUACAUAACUAGUAGUUUUAAAUUAAGAACUUUAAGCAUUUAAAAUAUUUUUCAUUUUAUCAUUCACACUUUUCCUUACUCCUUGAUCCGGACUUUUUAGCCACGACAGAUCCAUUUUCCCAUUGCAGUUCCCUGAGGACGUAACUUAAGUUAAGACCUCGGACUACCAAAGGCCUUACAUGAUACAUGCUCCGGAACACAUCCCGUCGAGCACCCUUAUAACGCCUCUGGCCAGUGCCCGAUGGAGAUCAACCCACUAGGUCAGCUAGCAUGUGUACACGAUUCUCAGACAACGUGUUAGGUCAUAAGAGAACCUCAAUUGAUUAACUUUGCGAGCCUUAAACAGAGCAGAGUGCACAUAAAUAUUUUAUUGGAUAAACAGUUUGCAUAUCAUUUAAUAAACAGUUUGCAUUUCAUUGAAAUAUUUAGAGCUUAAUAACUCAAUCAUACUUUAUACAUUUGAAAAGUAAGCCCGCCUGGUUAGGCAAAGCCUGAAGAUCAUAAUCACAUAAAUUCAUCUCGGAAAAGCAGCACUAAUCCCCUUGGUCCACAAAGCCUACAAGAAAUUCUAUUCUUAAUAGGUCUGGUAAAGCUAAUCUUACUUCUUAGUGGAUGUACUAAACAUACUUGAUUCGUCACGCCGAGUUUUCAAAAUUUAAUGAAUAAAUACUUGAAAACUAAAAUUCUUGAGUUAAGGACACCAACAAUAUCCUUACUCGAUUUUCUUUUAUAAAUGGAUUAUAAAUAAAACCAAUUAAAUCAUAAAUGCUUUUAUUGCAAAAUGCAAAUGCAAUACAUGUCAUGCUUUAAACAUGUGAUAAGUAAUUACUUAAAAUAUGCACAUAAUAAUAAUAUAAUAUUAUUAUGCAAAUCAUUCAUUAAAUAAAUUAAUUAAACUGAUUAAUAGUCCAAUUAAUUAAAAUAGGGCAGCCCAAUUAAAAGGGCCCAGCUUUAAAAAAAAAAUCACAGCCCAUAUUUAAAAUAUAGAUCAGCCUCAAUUGAAAAAAAGCGGGCCCAAGAGUUUCAAUUGAAAAUAGGCCCAUCUUCUCUAAACAAAACACAACACAAUAAAAUAAACAAAAAUUCAGCCCAACUUCUCAAAGCCCAAACCUAACCCAUUUAUCACCCUUCUUCAACACACCCAUACACACAAACACACGCACCCAGCAGCUGCGCCGCCCAGCCUCCCUCUUCCUCCUUCUCUCUUCCGGUACACGACGGCAGCCACCGCCGGACACGCCGCCGCCCCCUGACUCUCCUCUCCCUCGUCUCUACUCUCUCUUCCUCUGAAUCUCCGGUGCACAGCAGCAACAAGCCACUGUCACCAUCAAAUUCUCAACCCUCCGGACUCCCUCUGUUUCCAAGCAACGACGAUGAGACCGCCGCCGCUCUGAGCCCUAGCCUCCAAAUCGCCGACUCUCCUGCUCGAUUCCCGGCGACCGCAGCUCCUUCCACGGCCGCCGCCCUCAACCACUCUCACCCCCGACCUAUCCUCUUCCUCUGACUCCGGCGACUCAGGGCAGCAACAGUCACAGGUAGCCACGGCCGCCGCCGUACACACUACACACCAUCAUCUCUCUAGCCUCUCGCCCUCUGUCUCACUUCUCCUUCACAAAUUCUGGCGCGGCACGAAUUUGCUGUUACAGUAGCACGGCGCCGCCCUCGGCUCUAUUUUCCCCACUGAUUUCGCCACCUCAUCGGGACCAGUACAACCAUCAAGCCGCCUAAAGGUAUUUACAACCAGUACAACCAUCAAGCCGCCUAAAGGUAGGUAUUUACAGAAGACAAUUUCUCUUGACAUUUCCUUUUUUUUGGUGAAGAUAUUGAAUGUUGAUUGCUCAAAUCCAUAUUUUUGAGUAAAAACGGUUGUUGAAAUCACGUUUGAACUUUUGAAAUUGUUACCGAAAUCACAUUUGUAUAUGCCUGAAAUUUUGGUGAAAAUAAACUGUCAAAAUUUUUGCCUGUGUUUUUAUAUAAUAUAUAGAUUGCACUAUUUUUUCCUUGAGAGUUCUUCAUAUGGAAGUAAUGAAUAAAGGCUAUAAAGCUCACAAAAACAAGUCUUGCAGAUGGCUCUAGUUGUUAUUUGUGGUCAGCCUUGCAGUGGGAAGUCAACAGCCGCGGCCUGCCUGGUUGAAGCCCUUCAAGAAACAGAAUCUAAGCCAUCAGUUCGGAUCGUUGACGAAUCUUCAUUUCACCUUACACGGAACGAAGGCUAUGCUAACAUGCCAUCAGAAAAGAAUUUAAGGGGAGUAUUGAGAUCCGAAGUUGAUAGGUCGCUGUCUAGAGACAAUAUUAUUAUAGUGGAUUCUUUGAACAGCAUAAAGGGGUA
rnacentral:lncRNA from 1 species